rnacentral:misc_RNA from 1 species
AAGUCGUAACAAGGUUUCCGUAGGUGAGCCUGCGGAAGGAUCAUUAGAAUGAGAGCCGGACCAUUGUCGUGGGCGAAAAGCUUCGCACGUGCCAGUAAGCGCCCGUAAACCUCCACCCUUGUGUUAUUAUUCUUCUGUUGCUUUGGCAGGACCGCGACCCUCUGGGGGAGCGCUAGGCUUCAGGCUUGGAGAGUAGCCUGCCAGAGGACCAAACUCUGUAAUUUAAUGCCGUCUGAGUACUACGAAAAUAGUUAAAA